UACCAGCACCCCGAGUGGUCGGGACGAUUAUUGGGCCUAAAGCAUCCGUAGCCGGUUCUGCAAGUCCCCCGUUAAAUCCAGCUGCUCAACAGAUGGGCCGCGGAGGAUACUACAGAGCUAGGAGGCAGGAGAGGCAAGCGGUACUCAGUGGGUAGGGGUAAAAUCCGUUGAUCCAUUGAAGAACACCAGUGGCGAAGGCGACUCACUGGCCCGAUACUGACGCUGAGGCGCGAAAGCGUGGGGAGCAAACAGG
rnacentral:rRNA from 1 species